CACAAUUAUUAAAUUCAUUCUUUAUAAUCGUGUUUCAAGAUGGAUGCGGAGGUACCAACAACAAAUAAUUUUGUUGGCUAAGUGGAACAUGAAUCUCUUAUUAACUACCAUUCGAAGAGAGAAACCACAAGGUUCAACUAAUCAGAGCCUAAGUACUAAUUAAGCAUGAGGGAUGUGAAAAAAAUUGAUUAAAAUUGAAAAAAGGUGAGGAAGGUCAAUCUAGAAGAAUUGUGUAUUUUGGUCGAAAACCUAUGAAAACUUCAGAUGAUGAUUUUACUUCACAUAUUAGCAUAUCAGCUGGGCAGUAGUGAUACUUGGUUCAAAGUGCUUGGAAUGAGGAUUUUUAUGUGUUACAAAGAUACAAAGUAAUGAUUGUUCUAUAUGGUUGUUCUAUUUUUCACAUUUAGGAAAGAAGUAUAAAAAUUAAAGUUCGUGAAAUUGUCGUGUGCAUAUGUUUCGCGACAUAUAGCAUCUUUGUAUUGUAACAUAUGAUUUCUUUUAACCGUAAAACUUUUGUUCUAAUAUAUAUGCUUUAGAAUUCACUUUUGCCUGAUA